CCUACCGGUCGACGAUGGCUCUCAACACUCGACAUCGUUUCAGCGGAGGCUAGUUUCUUUGGAAACUUUGUCAGACGGAGAGGAUCACCAAGUUAAUACAACACCAGGUGAAACUACCAAUGUGGCAUGGACAAAUUAAUCGACUUUGUAAUUGGAGCAGUCUAACUUCCAAGAGGAUUUUCUAAGAUUGAAAAGGAUGUAAUUCAAAGAUCAAGUUAAUACAACACAAGAUUUGUAAGAAAAUGGCUGCAUCCUCAUUAGACAAUAGGGGAAAGGCCACAGAGAUCCAUAAUGAACUGGUUUAUCAUUUGGAUCAACAUCUUGAGCCACAAGAUUUCAUACGACUGAAAGAGCUUUUUAGGAAUCAUCCUCUUACUACUGCAGACUUAAAUGGCAUUCAGGAUGUUAAUGACCUAUUUGAACUUCUUACCAACUAUACGAAAAUAGAUUUGGGAAGCUACGAAACAAUUAUAUCAAAGUUGAAGGUUAUUAAUCGUCAACAGGCUAGAUAUGUGGAGGAACAACAAAGACAAAUUCAGAAAAUCCUGGAUGGAG